rnacentral:lncRNA from 1 species
GAAUCUCAAGAGUAUGUGGCCUGUUUUCUGGUUACUCCACACCAUACAAAUGAAAGGCAGAACUUGGAACAGCCAUGUCUAACCUGACCCUAUGUCUCUGUUCUCUUUGUACCUGUGCAGGUAGAGGAAGGAUGGUGGGAAGGUGUUCUCAAUGGGAAAACUGGAAUGUUUCCAUCCAACUUCAUCAAGGAGCUGUCGGGGGAGUCAGAUGAGCUUGGCAUUUCCCAGGAUGAACAGCUGUCUAAGUCAAGAAAGACUACCUUUGAAGGGCCAAUUCUGUACCGAGCUGCACCGGGAAAGACGGAGGGCCACAGACGCUAUUACAGCUUAAGGGAGACCACAGGCUCCGAGAGUGAUGGGGGUGAUUCAAGCAGUACCAAGUCCGAAGGUGCCAAUGGGACAGUGGCAGCUGCAGCCAUCCAGCCCAAGAAAGUUAAGGGAGUGGGCUUUGGAGAUAUUUUCAAAGACAAGCCAAUCAAACUAAGACCAAGGUCAAUUGAAGUAGAAAAUGACUUUCUGCUGAUAGAAAAGGUAUGUUCAACAGUUUCUGUUUUAUUUCAACAUAAUGUGAAAUAUCCAAAAGUACAUUGUGGGGUUUGGCAUCAGACUUCUGAUGCUUCUCUUG